rnacentral:lncRNA from 1 species
UUUAGACUUUGUUUGGUUGGAGUAUAAAUAAAAACUAAUUAUUAUAAAAAUAGAUAUAAGUAUGGAGAUAAAAAAAUAGCAUUUGAAUAAAAAUUGGGUUGAUUUCGGGGAUAAAAAAAUAGCGUUUGGAUAGAUAAUAUAGAAUAAGAAAAAUAGUGGAUAGUUAUAUAUAGAAAAUAAAGGUAUUGGUGGGAUAGUUAUACCAGCUUAUUUCAGGUAUCCGAGAACUACUAUUCUCGAACCCUUAUUCCUAAUCCAAAUAGUG